rnacentral:rRNA from 1 species
GGACCUACGGGAGGCAGCAGUGGGGAAUAUUGCACAAUGGGGGAAACCCUGAUGCAGCAACGCCGCGUGAGUGAAGAAGGUUUUCGGAUUGUAAAGCUCUGUUAGCAGGGAAGAGGAAGGACGGUACCUGCGGAGGAAGCCACGGCUAACUACGUGCCAGCAGCCGCGGUAAUACGUAGGUGGCAAGCGUUGUCCGGAAUUACUGGGUGUAAAGGGAGCGCAGGCGGGAAGCCAAGUCAGCUGUGAAAACUACGGGCUUAACUUGUAGACUGCAGUUGAAACUGGUUUUCUUGAGUGAAGUAGAG